GGAGAGGUGGCCGAGCGGCUUAUGGCGGCAGUCUUGAAAACUGCUGUACUCGUAAGGGUACCGGGGGUUCAAAUCCCUCCCUCUCCG
rnacentral:tRNA from 1 species